rnacentral:snoRNA from 1 species
AUUCCAUGGUUUGGGCAUUUUCGAAGCAUAUCUUUAAGCCUCUAACAAGCCUCAUGAAAGCUCUCCAACUUGGAUUGUUGAAAAGUGGUUAUGUCAUGCUUGAGUUU